rnacentral:ncRNA from 1 species
AUAUUAGACGAAAUUGGGAACGGGCCCCAAUAAUAGUUAUUAGAUUCUCUUAGAGAAUAUAUAACGUCAAUGGUUCGUCGUGUACGAUCCUCUGCGAGUUGUUUAUCUUCACAGCAGAUUACGUAAGUAAGAGUUUGGAGCAUUUGUAAAAUGGGCCAACAUUUUGUUAGUAUU